rnacentral:rRNA from 1 species
AACGAACGCUGGCGGCAUGCCUAACACAUGCAAGUCGAACGAGACCUUCGGGUCUAGUGGCGCACGGGUGCGUAACGCGUGGGAACCUGCCCUUAGGUUCGGAAUAACUCCCCGAAAGGGGUGCUAAUACCGGAUAAUGCCUUCGGACCAAAGAUUUAUCGCCUUUGGAUGGGCCCGCGUUGGAUUAGCUUGUUGGUAGGGUAAAAGCCUACCAAGGCGACGAUCCAUAGCUGGUCUGAGAGGAUGAUCAGCCACACUGGGACUGAGACACGGCCCAGACUCCUACGGGAGGCAGCAGUGGGGAAUAUUGGACAAUGGGCGAAAGCCUGAUCCAGCAAUGCCGGGUGAGUGAUGAAGGCCUUAGGGUUGUAAAGCUCUCUUACCCGGGAUGAUAAUGACAGUACCGGGAGAAUAAGCACCGGCUAACUCCGUG